CGCCUCUUGCUAACAAAGGAAGUACUAGAGGUCCCGCCUGCCCUGUGACCACAAAGUUUAACGGCCGCGGUAUCCUGACCGUGCGAAGGUAGCGUAAUCAUUUGUCUUUUAAAUAGAGACCUGUAUGAAUGGCAUAACGAGGGUUUAACUGUCUCCUUCCCCUAGUCAAUGAAAUUGAUCUGCCCGUGCAGAAGCGGACAUAAACACAUAAGACGAGAAGACCCUAUGGAGCUUUAGACAAAAGAUCAAACAUGUAAAGAAACCAAACCAACCAAAAGGAACACGAAGGCCACAAAACCCAACGUAAACUGAUCUAAAUGUCUUCGGUUGGGGCGACCAUGGGGGAAAGAAAAGCCCCCACGAGGAACAGGGACAACCCCUAAACUAAGAGAGACACCUCUAAGCAACAGAAAAUCUGACCAAAAUGWCCCAGGAUA
rnacentral:rRNA from 1 species